AGCAGCCGCGGUAAUUCCAGCUCCAAUAGCGUAUAUUAAAGUUGUUGCAGUUAAAAAGCUCGUAGUUGAACUUCGGGGUUUACCCCAUUGGUCAGGCUUAAUUGUCUGUACUGGUGAGAUAAAUCUCUACCUUCUGAGGAACUUUCAUGCCAUUUAUUUGGUGUGAUGGGAAAUCAGGACUGUUACUUUGAAAAAAUUAGAGUGUUUAAAGCAGGCUAACGUCUGAAUACAUUAGCAUGGAAUAAUGAAAUAGGACGGACUGAUUCUAUUUCGUUGGUUUCUAGGAUCACCGUAAUGAUUAAUAGGGAUAGUUGGGGGCAUUAGUAUUCAACUGUCAGAGGUGAAAUUCUUGGAUUUAUUGAAGACUAACUACUGCGAAAGCAUUUGCCAAGGAUGUUUUCAUUAAUCAAGAACGAAAGUUAGGGGAUCGAAGACGAUCAGAUACCGUCGUAGUCUUAACCAUAAACUAUGCCGACUAGGGAUCGGACGAAGUUAAUUUUAUAAUGACGUGUUCGGCACC
rnacentral:rRNA from 1 species